rnacentral:rRNA from 1 species
CAAUAGCGUAUAUUAAAGUUGUUGCAGUUAAAAAGCUCGUGAUGUGAUUCUGGCAGGAGCGACCGGUCACACACUCUGUGCGUGAACUUGUGUUGUCUCUGGCCAUCCUUGGGGAGAUCCUGUUUGGCAUUAAGUUGUCGGGCAGGGGAUACCCAUCGUUUACUGUGAAAAAAUUAGAGUGUUUAAAGCAGGCUUAUGCCGUUGAAUAUAUUAGCAUGGAAUAAUAAGAUAGGACUUCGGAACUAUUUUGUUGGUUUGCGUUACGAAGUAAUGAUUAAUAGGGACAGUUGGGGGUAUUCGUAUUGCAUUGUCAGAGGUGAAAUUCUUGGAUUUCUGCAAGACGAACUACUGCGAAAGCAUUUACCAAGGAUGUUUUUCAUUAAUCAAGAACGAA